rnacentral:rRNA from 1 species
CAGUAGCCGCGGGAAUACGUAGGGUGCGAGCAUUAAUCGGAAUUACUGGGCGUAAAGCGUGCGCAGGCGGUUAUAUAAGACAGAUGUGAAAUCCCCGGGCUCAACCUGGGACCUGCAUUUGUGACUGUAUAGCUAGAGUACGGUAGAGGGGGAUGGAAUUCCGCGUGUAGCAGUGAAAUGCGUAGAUAUGCGGAGGAACACCGAUGGCGAAGGCAAUCCCCUGGACCUGUACUGACGCUCAUGCACGAAAGCGUGGGGAGCAAACAGGAUUAGAUACCCCAGUAGUCCCUGUCUCUUAUAC